rnacentral:lncRNA from 1 species
UUGAGGAGCUAAGCACAGAAGGGUGCAGUUGUGAAGGUGUUCUCCUCAUACAUGACCUGUAAGUGAUAAUCUGCCCUGAUCAGGGUUGUUGUACAGUUAAUCGAGGUGUGACAGGGUGGGGAAUCUCAGGCCCAGGAGGCCACUAUGUGAGGAAAAGCCUCCUGAUCGCCAUUUCCUGUGGAAUCUGAGGGUGAAUGGAAGGUGGAGGACCGUAUUCAUGGAAGAGGAUUGAACAGACUACUGAGUUCUUAAGAGAAGAAUGGCACUUAAGAAAUUGAUGGUGAUACCAAAGGAAGGUUACUUAUUACACUUGGACUUUGAUGAUGAGCACGAUGACAUAAAAGUUUCAGAGGAGGCUCUUUUGGAAGGUAUAGCAUUUCCAGUGUCAGGUAUUAAUU